AUUGAACGCUGGCGGCAGGCCUAACACAUGCAAGUCGAACGAGUGGCGGACGGGUGAGUAAUGUCUGGGAAACUGCCUGAUGUAGGGGGCUAACUACUGGAAACGGUAGCUAAUACCGCAUACCAUCAGAUGUGCCCAGAUGGGAUUAGCUUGUCGGUGGGGUAACGGCUCACCAAGGCGACGAUCCCUAGCCGGUCCGAGAGGAUGACCAGCCACACUGGAACUGAGACACGGCCCAGACUCCUACGGGAGGCAGCAGUAGGGAAUAUUGCACAAUGGGCGCAAGCCUGAUGCAGCCAUGCCGCGUGUGUGAAGAAGGCUUUCGGGUUGUAAAGUACUUUCGGCGGGGAGGCGUUACCCACCGAAGAAGCAACGGCUAACUCCGUGCCAGCAGCCGCGGUAAUAC
rnacentral:rRNA from 1 species